UCACGAAAGUGGAUUGUACUAGAAGUCUGCAGGCUGACCCGCAAGGGAGGCAGCGGCCCAAGGUAUGAUCCAUGAUUGGAGUG
rnacentral:rRNA from 1 species